UACGUAGGGGGCAAGCGUUAUCCGGAUUUACUGGGUGUAAAGGGAGCGUAGACGGCGAUGCAAGCCAGAUGUGAAAGCCCGGGGCUCGACCCCGGGACUGCAUUUGGAACUGUGUGGCUGGAGUGUCGGAGAGGCAAGUGGAAUUCCUAGUGUAGCGGUGAAAUGCGUAGAUAUUAGGAGGAACACCAGUGGCGAAGGCGGCUUGCUGGACGAUGACUGACGUUGAGGCUCGAAAGCGUGGGGAGCAAACAGG
rnacentral:rRNA from 1 species